rnacentral:rRNA from 1 species
UACAGAGGGUGCAAGCGUUAAUCGGAAUUACUGGGCGUAAAGCGCGCGUAGGUGGUUUGUUAAGUUGAAUGUGAAAUCCCCGGGCUCAACCUGGGAACUGCAUGCAAAACUGGCAAAGCUAGAGUAUGGUAGAGGGUGGUGGAAUUUCCUGUGUAGCGGUGAAAUGCGUAGAUAUAGGAAGGAACACCAGUGGCGAAGGCGACCACCUGGACUGAAUACUGACACUGAGGUGCGAAAGCGUGGGGAGCAAACAGGA